CCCCCUCUUCGGCGGCGACGGUGGUAGCGGCGACGGCGGCAAGGGGAUGUUUACGGUUUAGCCAUGGGGACGACCGUCAUGUGUUUCAGUCAGUCGGGGACUUUUAGUCCGCGUGCAUCUUUUCGUCAUUUGUUUUUGCUUUGUGACAUUUUACCGUGUCUCUCAAAUUUCAUUAUUUCUGAUAAAAUAAGAAAUAAAAUAAGAAAUAAAAUAAGAGAUAAAAAAAAGUCGCGAGCGUUUUUAGUAGCUUUCUAUAAUAAACUUAUAAUGUGUUUAUCGUGAUGAAAUAUUAACGGAGAAAAAAAUAAGACAGAAGAAGACCACCAUGUGCUUAUGUACCAUAUAUUUACUAGUUGUUAUAUGAAUCGAAAAGUGUGAAUUUGAAUUGCGGCGUAAACAUAAAUAAAUCUAAGUUAUUAGUGGUGCGUUGGAAACAGCGAAGGAGGAGAUGGCGGCAACAAGAUAAGAUAAUGGGACUUUUCACGACUAAUUGCAAGACCACGAGGAAAACGAAGACGAAGACGAAGACGAAGACGAAGUCGGGGAGAAGGAGAGGUGAUUUUUUUCAAAGUGUGUUAUGUCCUGCGUGCUUUCGUCGACGGGACGAAAGGAGGAGCGCGAUGCAGGCUGGUGUUUGUCGUUGAGAAACGACCGAACCAGCAGACAACGAAGGAGUAGCAUCGUCGAGGUGUUGGUGGUGGAGAAGAAGGAGGGGACGGAGGGGGGCGAGGGCAAGGGUGGUAAAAAGGAGGAGGAGGAGGAGGAGGAACAGGAGGAAGAGGAGGAAGAGGAGGGUGAGGAGGGUGGCGAGGGCGCCGCCGAUGUUGUCGGUGGUUCCUCGCAAGGUGUUUGUUGUUAUUCACCCUCGUACGAAAUGCAGAAAAGCCCGUGUAUAAAUAAUAUCGUUGAUGCAACGAGGAUUGCUCGUUCCGUUCCAACGAGACGAACCCUGCAAGCUUUGAUUUUCAUCCUUGCUACCGUCUAUGUCACCAUUCUCCUCUUUCAGAGGAAAACUCAGCUGGUCGAAGUGUUAAACACCGAGAUUAAUGGUAAAAACGAAGCGGUGAUCGAAGUAUCGAGGAGAAUCGUUAUCGAGGAAGGAGGAGGAGGAGGAGGAGGAUCGACUAUGACCCUACCAGUCGCUACGGCUACGAUCGUACCCUUCUCUACAAAUCUGGAUGACGUGUUUUUCAGUGUCAAAACUACCAAGCACUAUCAUCGUUCCCGUUUGCCGGCAAUCAUCGACACAUGGUUUCAAUUUGCCAAGGAUCAGACCUGGUUUUUCACCGAUCGAGAAGAUCCAUACUUUCAGAAUCAAACGAACGGCCACAUGAUCGAUACAAAGUGUUCAUCUUCUCACAACAGACGAGCCCUUUGCUGCAAGAUGUCCGUAGAGUUUGAUAGAUUUCUCGAAGCCGGUCGAAAGUGGUUCUGCCACUUCGAUGACGAUAAUUACGUGAACGUACCACGCCUUCUGAAGCUCCUGGACAAUUACAACCCACGGGAGGAUUGGUAUCUUGGCAAGCCUUCGAUACCAGCCCCUCUGGAAAUCAUGAGGCCGGGACCAGAGCCAUCGAAACGACCGCAAAAGGUCAGAUUCUGGUUUGCUACGGGUGGUGCCGGCUUUUGCAUCAGCAGGGCUCUAGCGUUGAAAAUGACGCCGCUCGCUGGGUUGUUCCUUCGUCUCUCGUCCUUCCGAGUCCGUAAUAGCUGGCGAUUACGCUCGCGGAAAUGCUUCGUCACGGAGCUGCCUACGAAUCUUUUCGAGUUACGAUCUUUUGCGCGUCCGACCACCCUUUGAGAAAUUCCACGGAGAAGGCGAGGAGGAGACGAGUUUCCGGAGCUAAGAAGCCACUUGCACGGGUGGAAAGUUUAUCACCGUAGGCGAUAGGAUCAGGCUUCCGGAUGACGUAACCAUGGGAUAUAUCAUCGAGUAC
rnacentral:misc_RNA from 1 species